GAUAUGGCUCAGGAUGAACGCUAGCUACAGGCUUAACACAUGCAAGUCGAGGGGCAGCAUGGUCUUAGCUUGCUAAGGCCGAUGGCGACCGGCGCACGGGUGAGUAACACGUAUCCAACCUGCCGUCUACUCUUGGACAGCCUUCUGAAAGGAAGAUUAAUACAAGAUGGCAUCAUGAGUCCGCAUGUUCACAUGAUUAAAAGGUAUUCCGGUANACGAUGGGG
rnacentral:rRNA from 1 species